GACAAGGGGAAUCCAACUAUUUAAUUAAAACAAAGCAUUGUGAUGGUCCCUGCAGAUGCUGACAUAAUGUAAUUUGUAUCCAGUUCUCUGCAUGUGAAAGUGAAUAAAUUCAACCAAG
rnacentral:ncRNA from 1 species